rnacentral:rRNA from 1 species
AUUGAACGCUGGCGGUAGGCUUAACACAUGCAAGUCGAGCGGAAACGAUGUAGCUUGCUACAGGCGUCGAGCGGCGGACGGGUGAGUAACGCGUAGGAACCUACCUAGUAGUUUGGGAUAGCCCAGAGAAAUUUGGAUUAAUACCGGAUACGCCCUACGGGGGAAAGUGGAGGAUCUUCGGACUUCACGCUAUUAGAUGGGCCUGCGUAAGAUUAGCUAGUUGGUGAGGUAAUGGCUCACCAAGGCAACGAUCUUUAGCUGGUUUGAGAGGAUGAUCAGCCACACUGGGACUGAGACACGGCCCAGACUCCUACGGGAGGCAGCAGUGGGGAAUAUUGCACAAUGGGCGCAAGCCUGAUGCAGCCAUACCGCGUGUGUGAAGAAGGCUCUAGGGUUGUAAAGCACUUUCAGUAGGGAGGAAAGGUUAUAGUUUAAUACGCUAUAGCUGUGACGUUACCUACAGAAGAAGGACCGGCUAACUCCGUGCCAGCAGCCGCGGUAAUACGGAGGGUCCGAGCGUUAAUCGGAAUUACUGGGCGUAAAGCGUACGUAGGUGGUUUGUUAAGUUGGAUGUGAAAGCCCAGGGCUCAACCUUGGAACUGCAUUCAAAACUGAUGAACUAGAGUAUGGUAGAGGUAAGUGGAAUUUCCUGUGUAGCGGUGAAAUGCGUAGAGAUGGGAAGGAACAUCAGUUGGCGAAGGCGACUUACUGGACCAAUACUGACACUGAGGUACGAAAGCGUGGGUAGCAAACAGGAUUAGAUACCCUGGUAGUCCACGCCGUAAACGAUGUCUACUAGCCGUUGGGGUCCUUGAGACUUUAGUGGCGCAGCUAACGCACUAAGUAGACCGCCUGGGGAGUACGGUCGCAAGAUUAAAACUCAAAUGAAUUGACGGGGGCCCGCACAAGCGGUGGAGCAUGUGGUUUAAUUCGAAGCAACGCGAAGAACCUUACCUACUCUUGACAUCCACAGAACUUCUGAGAGAUCAGUUGGUGCCUUCGGGAACUGUGAGACAGGUGCUGCAUGGCUGUCGUCAGCUCGUGUUGUGAAAUGUUGGGUUAAGUCCCGUAACGAGCGCAACCCUUGUCCUUAGUUACCAUCAUUUAGUUGGGUACUUUAAGGAGACUGCCGGUGACAAACCGGAGGAAGGCGGGGACGACGUCAAGUCAUCAUGGCCCUUACGAGUAGGGCUACACACGUGCUACAAUGGCUGGUACAAACGGUUGCAAUCUCGCGAGGGUGAGCUAAUCUGAGAAAGCCAGUCGUAGUCCGGAUCGGAGUCUGCAACUCGACUCCGUGAAGUCGGAAUCGCUAGUAAUCGUGAAUCAGAAUGUCACGGUGAAUACGUUCCCGGGCCUUGUACACACCGCCCGUCACACCAUGGGAGUGGGUUGCUCCAGAAGUAGAUAGCUUAACCCUUCGGGGAGGGCGUUUACCACGGAGUGAUUCAUGACUGGGG